rnacentral:rRNA from 1 species
GACGAACGCUGGCGGCGUGCUUAAUACAUGCGAGUCGAACGGAAAGGCCCUGCUUGCAGGGUACUCGCGUGGCGAACGGGCGAGUAACUCGUGGGUGAUCAGCCCUGCACUUCGGGAUAAGCUAGGGAAACUGGGCCUAACAACGGAUAGGACCGCAAUUUAGCGUGUGUGGUGGAAAGUUUUUUCGGUGUAGGAUGAGCUCGCGGCGUAUCAGCUUGCUGGAGGGGUAAUGGCCUAACAAGGCGGCGAAGGGGAGCCGGCCUGAGAGGAUGUACGGCCACACUGGAACUGAGAGGCAGCCCGGACUCCGACGGGAGGCAGCAGGGGGGAAUAUUGGACGAUGCGCGGAAGCCUGAGUCAGCGACGCCGCGUGGGGGAUGAAGGCCUUCGUGUUGUAAGCUCCUUUCGCUAAGGACGAAGCUUUGUUUUGACGGUACCUAGAUAAGAAGCACCGGCUAACUACGUG